UACGUAGGUGGCAAGCGUUGUCCGGAAUUAUUGGGCGUAAAGCGCGCGCAGGCGGUCCUUUAAGUCUGAUGUGAAAGCCCACGGCUCAACCGUGGAGGGUCAUUGGAAACUGGGGGACUUGAGUGCAGAAGAGGGAAGCGGAAUUCCCGGUGUAGUGGUGAAAUGCGUAGAUAUCGGGAGGAACACCAGUGGCGAAGGCGGCUUUCUGGCCUGUUCUUGACGCUGAGGCGCGAAAGCUAGGGGAGCAAACGGGG
rnacentral:rRNA from 1 species